rnacentral:piRNA from 1 species
CGGCGCAAGGAGCCUAAGAGCCAGGAC